CCCUUAGAUGUCCUGGGCUGCACGCGCGCUACACUGAUGCGCUCAACGAGUUUACGAUCUUGCCUGAAAUGGCUGGGUAAUCUUUUUAAAAUGCAUCGUGAUGGGGAUAGAUUAUUGCAAUUAUUAAUCUUCAACGAGGAAUUCCUAGUAAGCGCGAGUCAUCAGCUCGUGCUGAUUACGUCCCUGCCCUUUGUACACACCGCCCGUCGCUCCUACCGAUUGAGUGCUCAGGUGAAUAAUUCGGACUGCAGCAAUGUUUGGAUCCCGAACGUUGCAGCGGAAAGUUUAGUGAACCUUAUCACUUAGAGGAAGGAGAAGUCGUAACA
rnacentral:rRNA from 1 species